UACGAAGGGGGCUAGCGUUGUUCGGAAUUACUGGGCGUAAAGCGCACGUAGGCGGAUACUUAAGUCAGGGGUGAAAUCCCGAGGCUCAACCUCGGAACUGCCUUUGAUACUGGGUAUCUCGAGUCCGGAAGAGGGUGAGUGGAAUUCCGAGUGUAGAGGUGAAAUGCGCAGAUAUCAGGAAGAACACCCGUGGCGAAGGCGGCUCUCUGGGACGUGACUGACGCUGAGACGCGAAAGCGUGGGGAGCGAACAGG
rnacentral:rRNA from 1 species